rnacentral:misc_RNA from 1 species
GAUGAAGAACGUAGUGAAAUGCGAUACUUGGUGUGAAUUGCAGAAUCCCAUGAACCAUCGAGUCUUUGAACGCAAGUAGCGCCCAAAGCCAUUAGGCCGAGGGCACGUUUGCCUGGGCGUCACACAAUGUUGCCCCCCGAAAUCUCAAUUUCCAAGAGGACGGGGGGCGGAUGCUGGCCUCCCGUGCGCCAUGGCUCGCGGUUGGCCCAAAUGCGAGUACUUGGCGAUGAGCGCCGCGGCAAUCGGUGGUUGUCCAACCCUCGGUGCCAUGCUGCGUGCGCGAGCCACUCACUGUUACUCGACGACCCCAAUGCAUCGUAGCCACGACGCUCACAACGCGACCCCAGGUCAGGCCGGGCUGCCCGCUGAGUUUAAGCAUAUCAAUAAGCGGAGGA